rnacentral:rRNA from 1 species
AGUGAACGCUGGCGGCAGGCCUAACACAUGCAAGUCGAGCGGCAGCGCGUCCGACCACCCUCGGGUGGUCGGAUGGCGGCGAGCGGCGGACGGGUGAGGAAUGCAUCGGAAUCUGCCUCGUUGUGGGGGAUAACGUAGCGAAAGUUACGCUAAUACCGCAUACGCUCGAGAGAGGAAAGUGGGGGAUCGCAAGACCUCACGUUAUAGGAGCGGCCGAUGUCCGAUUAGCUAGUUGGUGGGGUAAAGGCCUACCAAGGCGACGAUCGGUAGCUGGUCUGAGAGGACGACCAGCCACACUGGGACUGAGACACGGCCCAGACUCCUACGGGAGGCAGCAGUGGGGAAUUUUGGACAAUGGGCGCAAGCCUGAUCCAGCCAUG